UUAUUUUAACCUUUUAUUUAGAAGUAAUCGUGGAUUGACAGGAGGUUGGAAAUCAACAUGAAGGGAGGUGCCAUGUGGUUCCCUGCCUCCCCAGCAUCACAUCUUACACAGCCUGUGGUGUCAGCACCCAGGCAGGCCCUGCAGCCAGAGCAUGUCCAGACUCCUGACAUUGUGUAUAAUCAUGUGUGCUGCAUCACAGUGCAGCCACAUGGAACCCGCCCCCAAGGUCCAGGCACCACAGGACGCUUCCUCCCACGCCCCACCCCUGGCCUCACAACCAUCCCCACUGAUGCAGCAUGUGUCCUGUGAGAUUCUUGGAGUCUGAGCCGCCGCAGCAGGUGAGUGCUGUUUCCUGAAGCCUGUCUCAGUGACAUGAACUAUAAGCAACAGGACGAACAUGGUCACAACGUAAACACUUAUUACUGUGGGCAUUGUCCCAGGUUUUGCAAGAUGCCUCUCUUCCUUGUCAUUUUGUCCGUUUUCUUCACAGCUGACAUGUGAAUUUUCACAUCUGCCCCCAGAACUCAACUGGACUCAGAGGCCACUUGUCUGUUUCAAGCCUGUGGUACCAGAGCCUCCAGUCGUGCCCAGCGAGUGUGCAGAUGUGAGGGGUGGACCUCACUGAGUCUUGGAAGAGGGAGAGCCCUCACGGCAGGCACCAUGGCCCCAAAUAAGCAGUGGUGGGAGCACAAACAGCCCUUAGGACCACUGCCCUGGCUACCACCCCAGGAAACCAACUGCUGCAGUUCCAGGCAAGGUGCCAACUGCAAGAAGAGCUCUGCAGCCUGUUUCAGAGGACUCAGAGCUCUGGCAACCUGCCCUCUUCCUUCUCGCCCAGAAAGGCAGCCACAGCCACCAUGGAUGAACUUCAGACACAUUUGCCUCAGACACAUCGGGGACCUCCCCUGGGAUGGGGGGAUCCUGGUCUUUAUACUCAACUCUGCUCCAGAGUCCUCUGUGCACCACACCCCACCACUCACAGGUACACACACAAGUCACAGAGGAUUCUCAGGGUGCAUAGGAGAAAACACACAAUGGGAAAUUUUAUUCUUUAAUGUACGGCCUUCUGAAGUGAUGGAUUAUUUUGCCCCAUGGAACGAGUUACAUCAUGUCUGACCUACCCCCAUGGUCCAGUCCUGAGGGAGGCACCAAGAUGCAGCAGGCCUGGCCCGCAGCAGCACACAGUGGGGCCUGCUAAGGAGCCAGAGAGGAAAAUCAUUUUAUUAGUAAUGAAGAGACCAUCUGAGGAACUAGAACUCUCAGAAUUCCUUUGUGGCUCAGUGAGUUAAGAAGUCGACACUGCCUCUCUGAGGAUAUGGGUUCGAUCCCUGGUCUCACUCACUGGUUUAAGGAUUCAGCUUUGCUGAAGGCUGUGGUAUAGGUGUGGCUGUGGUGUAGGCCUGCAGCUGUGGCUCCAAUUCGACCCAAAGCCUGGGAACUUCCAUAUGCCUCAUGUGCGGCCAUAAAAGGAAAACAAAACAAAAAAAUCCCUAGAGCUCUUGUUGGUUCAAAUACAUACAUAUUUAAAAACAUCUAAGCAGGGAGUUCCUGUCAUGGCGCAGUGGUUAAAGAAUCCAACUAGGAACCAUGAGGAUUGGGGUUCUACCCUGGCCUUGCACAGUGGGUCAGGGAUGUGGCGUUGCCAUGAGCUGUGCUGUGGGUCACAGACGUGGCUUGGAUCCCAAGUUGCAUGGCAUAGGCCAGGAGUUGUAGCUGCAAUUUGACCCCUAGUCUGGGAACUUCCAUAUGCUGCCAGUGCUGCCCUAAAAAAAUAAAAAUAAAAAACACAGAGUCAAUGUGGAAGACUCCUAGAUCUCCAUCUCUGCAGUGAAUCAACAGCUUCCCCAAUACCAUCUGAGGCCUAAAUUUUAGAGCUAUUACGUUUCCCCAAGGAAGGAAUAAUCUGGCUAGUGAACAUCUCGCUUUUCUCAUUAAGUGACAUACUGUGGGUAUCUCUGCACAUGGGGAUGGAUUACUACCUGUUCUUAAGAGCUGUGUGAUACUCCAUGAUGGAGAAGACAUCAUCUGGUCAAAUGUCUAUUACUGGGCUUUAGGACACUUUCAGUCUUUGCACUAUUACAAACAGUGACACUAUGCACAUUUUGAACCUGUAAUUUGUUACCCAAUUACUUCCUUAGGAUAAACUUUCAGAGUUAAAAUUGUGGGGUUAAAAGGUAUGUGUUUGACAUUUAGAUAAUCAGAACUCCUGACAUUCCAUCAGCACUGCCCAAGUGCCUGACUCUGCAAACCCCUGUGGACAUUCCACUGGGCAGAAACCACUUACUGUCAUUUCAAUCCUAUACCAGACCAUUUGGUUUCCUUUUAGAAUGAAUUUCUUUGUGCUCCUUGCCUGCUUUUCUACUCUAAAAUCAUUUCCAUUUUUCUUAGUGAUACAUGACAGCUACCUUUAAAAUAUUAUACAGCAUUCUUCCCAUAGAAACUACAACUAUCUUUCCCACUUUCCACUUAUCAAGACUUGGCAUCAUUUUCUUUUACACACACUAGUCCUGCUGGCUCCCUCCCCCGAAAACCCCCAACUCCCCAUGAGCACUGCCCACUCACAGCUUCACUCCAUCCCCUACCCCCACCCUCCAGCUCCAAGGCACCCCUGUAUCC
ensembl:lncRNA